rnacentral:rRNA from 1 species
UACGGAGGAUCCAAGCGUUAUCCGGAAUUACUGGGCGUAAAGAGUUGCGUAGGUGGCAUUGUAAGUUGGUAGUGAAAGCGUGCGGCUCAACCGCAUACACAUUACCAAAACUGCAAAGCUUGAGGACGAGAGAGGCAUCUGGAAUUCCUAGUGUAGGAGUGAAAUCCGUAGAUAUUAGGAGGAACACCGAUGGCGUAGGCAGGGUGCUGGCUCGUUCCUGACACUAAGGCACGGAAAGCGAUGGGGAGCCAAACGGGG